rnacentral:rRNA from 1 species
AACGAACGCUGGCGGCAUGCCUAACACAUGCAAGUCGAACGCGUGGCUUCGGCCACGAGUGGCGCACGGGUGAGUAACGCGUGGGAACCUGCCCGGCAGUACGGGACAACCGCGGGAAACUGCGGCUGAUACCGUAUACGGCCUGAGGGCGAAAGAAUUUCGCUGUCGGAGGGGCCCGCGUCGGAUUAGGUAGUUGGUGGGGUAACGGCCUACCAAGCCUGCGAUCCGUAGCUGGUCUGAGAGGAUGAUCAGCCACACUGGGACUGAGACACGGCCCAGACUCCUACGGGAGGCAGCAGUGGGGAAUAUUGGACAAUGGGCGCAAGCCUGAUCCAGCAAUGCCGCGUGAGUGAUGAAGGCCUUAGGGUUGUAAAGCUCUUUCGCCCGCGACGAUGAUGACGGUAGCGGGAGAAGAAGCCCCGGCUAACUCCGUGCCAGCCGCCGCAGUAAAAC